CCCCCUCCAGCCAACGUGUCUCCACAGCUAAGGAAGAAUUCUUCACUUCUCUCAUUGACUUCUCAAACUCCAAACCACGGCCUGUUCCGCUUGGUCUGUUUCACAAGCGUUCCAGGAAGUCUCUGAUGUUGCACAUCUGGGUUCAGAAACUCUGUGAUUUUUAUGUUACUGCUUUUUUGCCAAAGUAUAUUUACGGUACUUCGAUAUGAUUUUAGUUUUUCAGUCCAUAUUUAUAUUUCUUUAUUUGUGUGUUUAAAAAAAUAAAAUAUCUGUUUUGUAUUUAUUACCCAAAAAAUGUUUACUCCAGAGUAGUGUUUAUUAACUUGCCCGCGGUGUUGGGUAAUACUGAACGUUCAGACAUCGUGGGCGGCAGGUAGCCUCGUGGUUCGAUCGUUGGGCCACUUGUUGAAUAUAUUCAGUCGUUCUCCAAAUCCUGAAGCUACUUUACCUUGAUAUGCAUGCUGAAUUUGGAUUUACAUUUGGGAUUUUGUUUGUUGCACCAAAACUCCCUGUACUGUGUACUUUAUAACUGAGCUUCAUGUCCAGUUUUUCAUAACGCUCUCAUUGCCACAAAUUAUAUAAGAUACUUUAAAAAAUAUAUAUAUAAAAUUAAAAUGAUUUUAAACUUUUAUUUAUACUCAUUCAUUUCCCAAUACUUCCAAACAUGUUGUUGAACUGUAUUGUAAAAUAUGAUAUAUAUCAAAUAUAUAUUAUGUGUGUUACAUGUAAAAGGGCAUAGGAAUAGAGGUACUCAAUCAUUCAAAGACACCUACUGUGAGCCUAUGUGUGAAGAUCAGGAAUCUGCAACGUUUUUUUUUACCAACUAUCUUUACUGCAAUAUACAUAGUUUAAAAAAUAAAUAAUAAUAAUAAUAAUCCUUGAAAUCUACAGGAACUUGAUAGACCAUUUUCUGAAAUAAUGAAACAUACAAACAUGUUACAGACAUUAUGUGAGUGUCAUUAACAUGUACAAAAGGGUUAUUUUAAUUAAGAGACGUGUAAACAAUGUGAACAGCGCUGUGUAGGGAGUAGGGAGCCGUUUCACCCUAGGUCUCUGUGUAGGGAGUAGGGAGCUGUUUCACCCUAGGUCUCUGUGUAGGGAGUAGGGAGCCGUUUCACCCUAGGUCUCUGUGUAGGGAGUAGGGAGCUGUUUCACCCUAGGUCUCUGUGUAGGGAGUAGGGAGCCGUUUCACCCUAGGUCUCUGUGUAGGGAGUAGGGAGCCGUUUCACCCUAGGUCUCUGUGUAGCGACUAGGGAGCCGUUUCACCCUAGGUCUCUGUGUAGGGAGCCGUUUCACCCUAGGUCUCUGUGUAGGGAGUAGGGAGCCGUUUCACCCUAGGUCUCUGUGUAGGGAGCCGUUUCACCCUAGGUCUCUGUGUAGGGAGUAGGGAGCAGUUUCACCCUAGGUCUCUGUGUAGGGAGUAGGGAGCCGUUUCACCCUAGGUCUCUGUGUAGGGAGUAGGGAGCCGUUUCACCCUAGGUCUCUGUGUAGAUAGUAGGGAGCCGUUUCACCCUAGGUCUCUGUGUAGGGAGUAGGGAGCCGUUUCACCCUAGGUCUCUGUGUAGGGAGUAGGGAGCCGUUUCACCCUAGGUCUCUGUGUAGGGAGUAGGGAGCCGUUUCACCCUAGGUCUCUGUGUAGGAAGUAGGGUGCCGUUUCACCCUAGGUCUCUGUGUAGGGAGUAGGGAGCCGUUUCACCCUAGGUCUCUGUGUAGAGAGCUGUUUCACCCUAGGUCUCUGUGUAGGGACUAGGGAGCUGUUUCACCCUAGGUCUCUGUGUAGAGAGCCGUUUCACCCUAGGUCUCUGUGUAGGGAGUAGGGAGCUGUUUCACCCUAGAUCUCUGUGUAGGGACUAGGGAGCCGUUUCACCCUAGGUCUCUGUGUAGGGACUAGGGAGCCGUUUCACCCUAGGUCUCUGUGUAGGGAGUAGGGUGCCGUUUCACCCUAGGUCUCUGUGUAGGGAGUAGGGUGCCGUUUCACUCUAGGUCUCUGUGUAGGGAGCCGUUUCAUCCUAGGUCUCUGUGUAGGGAGCCGUUUCAGCCUAGGUCUCUGUGUAGGGAGUAGUUUCACCCUAGGUCUCUGUGUAGGGAGCUGUUUCACCCUAGGUCUCUGUGUAGGGAAUAGGGAGCUGUUUCACCCUAGGUCUCUGUGUAGGGAGCCGUUUCACCCUAGGUCUCUGUGUAGGGAGUAGGGAGCCGUUUCACCCUAGGUCUCUGUGUAGGGAGUAGGGAGCCAUUUCACCCUAGGUCUCUGUGUAGGGAGCCGUUUCACCCUAGUCUCUGUGUAGGGAGUAGGGAGCUGUUUCACCCUAGGUCUCUGUGUAGGGAGCUGUUUCACCCUAGGUCUCUGUGUAGGGAGUAGGGAGCCGUUUCACCCUAGGUC